CAAGUCGAACGGCAGCACGGAGCUUGCUCUGGUGGCGAGUGGCGAACGGGUGAGUAAUAUAUCGGAACGUACCCAGGAGUGGGGGAUAACGUAGCGAAAGUUACGCUAAUACCGCAUACGUCCUAAGGGAGAAAGUGGGGGAUCGCAAGACCUCAUGCUCAUGGAGCGGCCGAUAUCUGAUUAGCUAGUUGGUGAGGUAAAGGCUCACCAAGGCAACGAUCAGUAGCUGGUCUGAGAGGACGACCAGCCACACUGGAACUGAGACACGGUCCAGACUCCUACGGGAGGCAGCAGUGGGGAAUUUUGGACAAUGGGGGCAACCCUGAUCCAGCAAUGCCGCGUGAGUGAAGAAGGCCUUCGGGUUGUAAAGCUCUUUUGUCAGGGAAGAAAAGGGACUGGCUAAUAUCUAGUCCUCAUGACGGUACCUGAAGAAUAAGCACCGGCUAACUACGUGCCAGCAGCCGCGGU
rnacentral:rRNA from 1 species